UCGGGGCGCCGCAUCGCCCGCCCCGCCCGGACAAAUCCGAAGGCGGCGUGAGUUUUGAACUGAAAUCCGAAUACGAGCCGAAGGGCGACCAGCCCACCGCGAUCAAGGAACUGGUCGAAGGCAUCCAACGCAACGACCGUACGCAGGUGCUGCUCGGUGUCACCGGCUCCGGCAAGACAUACACCAUGGCGAAGGUGAUCGAGGCGACGCAGCGU
rnacentral:misc_RNA from 1 species